rnacentral:rRNA from 1 species
GUCGAGGGGCAUCGGGAGGGAAGCUUGCUUUCCUUGCCGGCGACCGGCGUACGGGUGAGUAACACGUAUGCAACCUGCCCUCUUCAGGGGGACAACCUUCCGAAAGGGAGGCUAAUCCCGCGUAUAUCGGUUUCGGGCAUCCGAGAUCGAGGAAAGAUUCAUCGGAAGAGGAUGGGCAUGCGGCGCAUUAGCUUGACGGCGGGGUAACGGCCCACCGUGGCGACGAUGCGUAGGGGUUCUGAGAGGAAGGUCCCCCACACUGGUACUGAGACACGGACCAGACUCCUACGGGAGGCAGCAGUGAGGAAUAUUGGUCAAUGGGAGAGAUCCUGAACCAGCCAAGCCGCGUGAGGGAAGACGGCCCUAUGGGUUGUAAACCUCUUUUGUCGGAGAACAAAACCCGGGACGUGUCCCGGACUGCGUGUAUCCGAAGAAAAAGCAUCGGCUAACUCCGUGCCAGCAGCCGCGGUAAUACGGAGGAUGCGAGCGUUAUCCGAAUUUAUUGGGUUUAAAGGGUGCGUAGGCGGUCCGUUAAGUCAGCGGUAAAAUUGCGGGGCUCAACCCCGUCGAGCCGUUGAAACUGGCAGACUUGAGUUGGCGAGAAGUACGCGGAAUGCGCGGUGUAGCGGUGAAAUGCAUAGAUAUCGCGCAGAACUCCGAUUGCGAAGGCAGCGUACCGGCGCCACACUGACGCUGAGGCACGAAAGCGUGGGGAUCGAACAGGAUUAGAUACCCUGGUAGUCCACGCAGUAAACGAUGAAUGCUGGUUGUCCGGGUCGAAUGAGAUCUGGGCGGCGAAGCGAAAGCGAUAAGCAUUCCACCUGGGGAGUACGCCGGCAACGGUGAAACUCAAAG